rnacentral:sRNA from 1 species
AUUCAAAACAAGCCAAAUUCGUUCUUUGAGCGUCUCGCCUUCUAUCCAAGCGCUAUUACUGUCUUCAUUAUCAAUCAAGUCCUUUAACACUGACAUGUCGUCCUCAUGCUGGAAGUACUGUCUCCAGCAGCACUUGUUGACGUUUCCAUUCCCUAUCUCCCAGAACGACAGCUCCUCUCGGAGCAAGGCCCCGCACACCUGUCGGGGAACGUGCAGGUUCCCGGUGACCAGUAGGUUCAGAAUCACAUUGAAGAGGUCGGGGUCUCUGUCAAAAAAGUACUCCUGAUUGUUGCCGUCGUACGACUCGUGCUCCGGGGUCAGUCGACCCAGCUUAGAGUCAGAUACAGCUUUCAAAGUCGAUGCAAACGUCUCGAAUAUCCUUCCUCUGAUGUUAAAUUUGACCCGACUUGCACUUUGUGUCAUAUUCCUGUUCAGAAAAAAAAGAAUUUAAAAACUAUGAAGAUUGAGUGUCAGAUAAAUGGUAUAAUUGGUAGCAAAGGUUACCAAUUAUUAUGGAGAAGGAUUAAGAAAACGGGUACUUUAAUCCGGUCUAAUUAAAAUUAGCCUCCACGAUCCGUUUUACUUAUACACUUGCGUAUAGCAGAGAAGCAGUUUUUACAAAUCUUAUUUCAAUAAAAUUGACUAUAAUCAAACCGGAUUAUCCGGGAGUUUAUAUAUUACGUAAGAAAACAUUGUUAAACGCUGCCUUUAAAGGUGUAACGUUAUAUGGAGUUUUUAUCAAUUAGUGAUAAAAAAAAAAUAUCAAAGAAGAUUACUCUGAAUUCUUUCGAAGGUACCAUGCCAAAAAGCAAUAAUUCCCAUGCUCUAAUUAAUAAUGAGGGAUGUAGAUAAAUUAAUAAAUAAAUAAAUUGUUUUCCUUUCUCAGGAAAACAAUUUCAUAACUUAUGUACAUGUACGUUCACCUGAAGAAGGAUGUAAAAAAUGU